rnacentral:rRNA from 1 species
GUCCACGCCGUAAACGAUGGAUACUAGCUGUUGGGCGCAAGUUCAGUGGCUAAGCGAAAGUGAUAAGUAUCCCACCUGGGGAGUACGUUCGCAAGAAUGAAACUCAAAGGAAUUGACGGGGGCCCGCACAAGCGGUGGAGCAUGUGGUUUAAUUCGAUGAUACGCGAGGAACCUUACCAAGGCUUAAAUGUAGUUUGACCGUUUUGGAAACAGAACUUUCGCAAGACAAAUUACAAGGUGCUGCAUGGUUGUCGU